GAACGCGAAGAACCUUACCAGGUCUUGACAUCCUGCGCUACACCUAGAGAUAGGUGGUUCCCUUCGGGGACGCAGAGACAGGUGGUGCAUGGCUGUCGUCAGCUCGUGUCGUGAGAUGUUGGGUUAAGUCCCGCAACGAGCGCAACCCUUGUCUUUAGUUGCCAUCAUUAAGUUGGGCACUCUAAAGAGACUGCCGGUGACAAACCGGAGGAAGGUGGGGAUGACGUCAAGUCAUCAUGCCCCUUAUGACCUGGGCUACACACGUGCUACAAUGGGCAGUACAACGAGAAGCGAACCCGCGAGGGUAAGCGGAUCUCUUAAAGCUGUUCUCAGUUCGGACUGCAGGCUGCAACUCGCCUGCACGAAGCUGGAAUCGCUAGUAAUCGCGGAUCAGCACGCCGCGGUGAAUACGUUCCCGGGUCUUGUACACACC
rnacentral:rRNA from 1 species